rnacentral:rRNA from 1 species
GAUUAAACGCUGGCGGCAUGCCUUACACAUGCAAGUCGAACGGCAGCACGGGGCAACCUGGUGGCGAGUGGCGAACGGGUGAGUAAAGCAUCGGAACGUGCCCUGGAGUGGGGGAUAACGUAGCGAAAGUUACGCUAAUACCGCAUAUUCUGUGAGCAGGAAAGCAGGGGAUCGCAAGACCUUGCGCUCUGGGAGCGGCCGAUGUCGGAUUAGCUAGUUGGUGGGGUAAAAGGCCUACCAAGGCGACGAUCCGUAGCGGGUCUGAGAGGAUGAUCCGCCACACUGGGACUGAGACACGGCCCAGACUCCUACGGGAGGCAGCAGUGGGGAAUUUUGGACAAUGGGCGGAAGGCCUGAUCCAGCCAUGCCGCGUGAGUGAAGAAGGCCUCGUUGUAAGUAGUACUUCGUCGGUACGGAAGUACG